UACGUAGGGUGCAAGCGUUGUCCGGAAUUAUUGGGCGUAAAGAGCUCGUAGGCGGUUUGUCGCGUCUGCUGUGAAAACCCGCGGCUCAACCGCGGGCCUGCAGCCGAUACGGGCAGGCUAGAGUUCGGUAGGGGGAGACUGGAAUUCCUGGUGUAGCGGUGAAAAUGCGCAGAUAUCAAGGAGGAACACCGGUGGCGAAGGCGGGGGUCUCUGGGCCGAUACUGACGCUGAGGAGCGAAAGUGUGGGGGGAGCG
rnacentral:rRNA from 1 species